UCCCAUGCCCCUGCCCCGGCCCCAGCCUACUGCACCUGUGGAAGCAAGAGUUGCAACACAAUUUUCAAUGGUAAGAAUUACUAUUUAACUUUUUUAAUAAUACCACUUAAGAAUGUGCUCAAUUAAAAUUCAAGAAAGUUCAGAACGUAAGAUGAAGAAAAAAAGAAAAAGCAAGAAUGCUAUGAGAUGCUGGCUGAGACCUACUAAUUGUCACCCCUCUUGUACAGUGGGGGCACCUGUUGUCUGCUGAAUGGUCAGUUUGAAUAUCUCAGAUUUGGUUUAAGUCACAUGGUCAAGGAUAAAUGUAGAAUGUAACCUGUUUGCUUUCUCUCUUGAGACUAGACUCAUGUCCCUCAUGGCAUCCCUCUCAAUACUUCUCAUGUGUUAAAGCUACAUUAUCUUUCUUUCUCAAUCUCAGAUUUACUGGCUCUCACAUUGCUGCAGCAAAGCCAAAUCUUAGUGUGGUCAGGAGACCUUCUCAGGUUGAAGACCAACCCAGCGCAGCAGUGUCUUGUGCCUCUAUACCAAGCAGUACUGUCUCUGGUGUGCCAGUGUUCCAGGGUCUACAAAUGGUUCAAAGACUGUCAGCGGUCCAUAGGAUGCCACUGUUACAGCCUAUUUUGCAGAGCACCAAUUCACAACCAGCUCCACAA